CCUCGACUUCCGGUUUGUCGUUUUCUUUCUACAAUAAAACACUCAGGUUUGGCGACAAACUCGACAUGACAUCGGAUGUUUUGUUUCGUUGUGCAUUGAAACAGGUGGUGGAGAUCUGCAAUGACAUCCUGAAGGAGCUCAGCUUCCAAUCCCAAGUGAUGGCAACUUACUGGUGCUACUCACUUCUUGUCUGGAAUUACUUGAUGCACCAUAAAAUGUCCAUCUAUGUGUAUUUGAUAACGGUCUUUAAACAGAAAUAUCCGUAUAACGAGACUAAACAAUUUCACACAAAUCAAACGUCCUGGACUCACAUUGUCAACAAGGUGCCACAUCAGGAGGAAACACCAAGGCCUUUAUUUAGUCUCAAACUUUGCUCGCGUAGAAAGUCACAGAAUAAUACCGCAAGCGCAAAACCAAUCUGUGGUUUGGAAAAAGUGGCAGCCCAACGUGACAGCGUGACAUGUAAUAUUAAUAGAAA